UAAAAGUGUCUGCAAAUGCAUUAAUUUGAGUUUUUUUUAUUUAAAGGUCACAUUCUUUCUGAUCCCUUUUUUAAACCCUAGUUAGUGUGUAAUGUUACAAUAAUAGCAUAAAUAAUACCUGUAAAAUGAUAACGCUCAAAGCUCAAAGUCCACUGCCAGGCGAUAUAAGUAAAUUGUGUGAAAAAUACUGCGUUUUUUACACGUGAAACAUGCACACAUGUUAUAUUACGCACUGUAAACACAAUCAAAGCUUCAAAAACAAAGAAAGAACGGGAUCUUUAAAAGUGUUUUCUUACAGAACAAACACAGCUGUUUUUAAGGUAGUAUUAUCCUUAGGUAUAUAUACAAACAUCUUCAAAAUUUUUAAACUGUCUAAUACACAAUUUCUGUUUUCAUGGUAAUGGCAACUCUAAUUGGUGGAUUUUACUUUAGGAUUGUAGAUUAUGUAGCAAUGGGAAUUUGGCCAUUUUUUAUUAUUUUAAAGAAAAGCGUGAUGAAGAGCAGUGUCAAAUGAUCUUUUGGCUCCUGGAAGAUAAGCCAAACUGCUAUGUACAGUAGCAGCUUGGAUGGAGUAAUGAUUGUUUAAUAGAGACUUUGUUCUCAGAUUUUUUUCCUGGGCUCCAUUCCAUUGCAAACAAAUACGAACAGAGGUUAACAUCUCUGUGGUGUAAUAUAAAAGUAAUUUAUAUAAUGCAUAAUGGGUUAACCACUGAGUAAGCCAGUGUUAAGGGUCUCAAAAAGCAACUCAUUUAAAGUUGAAACACCAAGGUUAAUCGGGUCAUAUGUACACUGAUACAAGUUUCAAGGUUGGGUUAGAUUUACAAUAAAAGCUCCAGGAUUACUGACACACAGCAGGGACGUCUCAUCUGAAGCUGCCUACAAACAAAACAAGACAUCUUCUGGAACAAAAUAUAAUUUUGACUGAAAUAACAAGGUA